GAUGAACGCUGGCGGCGUGCCUAAUACAUGCAAGUCGAGCGAACAGACGAGGAGCUUGCUCCUCUGACGUUAGCGGCGGACGGGUGAGUAACACGUGGAUAACCUACCUAUAAGACUGGGAUAACUUCGGGAAACCGGAGCUAAUACCGGAUAAUAUAUUGAACCGCAUGGUUCAAUAGUGAAAUACGGUUUUGCUGUCACUUAUAGAUGGAUCCGCGCCGCAUUAGCUAGUUGGUAAGGUAACGGCUUACCAAGGCAACGAUGCGUAGCCGACCUGAGAGGGUGAUCGGCCACACUGGAACUGAGACACGGUCCAGACUACUAAGGGAGGCAGCAGUAGGGAAUCUUCCGCAAUGGGCGAAAGCAUGACGGAGCAACGCCGCGUGAGUGAUGAAGGUCUUCGGAUCGUAAAACUCUGUUAUUAGGGAAGAACAAAUGUGUAAGUAACUAUGCACGUCUUGACGGUAACUAAUCAGAAAGCCACGGCUAACUACGUG
rnacentral:rRNA from 1 species